UACGUAGGGUGCAAGCGUUGCCCGGAUUUAUUGGGCGUAAAGGGCGCGUAGGCGGCUCGGCACGUCCGUUGUGAAAUCGCCCGGCUCAACUGGGCGGGGUCAGCGGAUACGGUCGAGCUUGAGCAAGCUAGGGGGCAAUGGAAUUCCCGGUGUAGUGGUGGAAUGCGUAGAUAUCGGAAGGAACACCAGUGGCGAAAGCGGCUUCCUGGUCCAGCACCGACGUCAGGCACGAAAGCGUGGGGAGCAAACAGG
rnacentral:rRNA from 1 species